AGAUAAUAGAUACCCAGGUAGUCCACGCCCUAAACGAUGUCGACUAGUUGUUGGGACUUAACUGGUCUUGGUAAACGCAGCUAAACGCGAGAAGUCGACCGCCUGGGGAGUACGGUCGCAAGAUUAAAACUCAAAGGAGUUGACGGGGACCCGCACAAGCGGUGGAUGAUGUGGAUUAAAUUCGAUGCAACGCGAAAAACCUUACCUACCCUUGACAUGGACCAAAUUCUAAAGAGAUUUAGGAGUGCUCGAAAGAGAAUGGUCGCACAGGUGCUGCAUGGCUGUCGUCAGCUCGUGUCGUGAGAUGUUGGGUUAAGUCCCGCAACGAGCGCAACCCUUGUCGGUAAUUGCCAUCAUUAGGUUGGGCACUUUACUGAGACUGCCGGUGACAAACCGGAGGAAGGUGGGGAUGACGUCAAGUCCUCAUGGCCCUUAUGGGUAGGGCUUCACACGUCAUACAAUGGUGCAUACAGAGGGUAGCGAACUCGUGAGGGGAGCCAAUCUCAGAGAGUGCAUCGUAGUCCGGAUUGAAGU
rnacentral:rRNA from 1 species